UGAGGAAUAUUGGUCAAUGGGCGGGAGCCUGAACCAGCCAAGCCGCGUGAGGGAAGAAGGCCCUAUGGGUCGUAAACCUCUUUGUCAGGGAACAAAAGCGAGUAUGUAUACUGGUCUGAGUGUACCUGAAGAAAAAGCAUCGGCUAACUCCGUGCCAGCAGCCGCGGUAAUACGGAGGAUGCGAGCGUUAUCCGGAUUUAUUGGGUUUAAAGGGUGCGUAGGCGGCGGUGCAAGUCAGCGGUAAAAGCCCGGGGCUCAA
rnacentral:rRNA from 1 species